rnacentral:rRNA from 1 species
AUUGAACGCUGGCGGCAGGCCUAACACAUGCAAGUCGAGCGGAUGAAGGGAGAUUGCUCCUGGAUUCAGCGGCGGACGGGCGAGUAAUGACUAGGGAUCUGCCUGGUAGUGGGGGAUAACGUCAGGAAACGGGAGCUAAUCUCGCAUACGUCCUGAGGGUGAAAGUGGGGGAUCUUCGGAGCUCACGCGAUUAGAUGAGCCUGGGUCGGUUUAGCUAGUUGGUGGGGUAAAGGCCUACCAAGGCGACGACCCGUAACAGGUCUGCGAGGAUGAUCCGACACACGGAAACAGAGACGGGGCCCAGACUUCCACGGGGCGCAGCAGUGGAAAAUAUUGGACAAGGGGCGAAAGCGUGAUCCAGCCAUGGCGCGUGUGAAGAAGGUCUUCGGAUCGUAAAGCUCUUUUAUUAGGGAAGAAGAGCAGUAAGUGAAUACCUUGAUGUUUUGACGGUACCAACAGAAUAAGCACCGGCUAACUUCGUG